CAGGCAGCGAACUCCAAGCCGCUGCCUUGCUCCUCAUGCAAAACCUCCACAGCAAGAUCCACAGAGCUGUGGGGGCCAUGUGGGCCUCUGAGAUCCCCCUGCUGCUGCAGUGCCUCGAAGGGAAAGAUGAGAGCUUCCCAGACUCUGCAAGGUGGGAGCAGCGCCUACUAAAGUUCCUGAGGGCAUCAUUGGACACCAUGGAGGAUGAGGCCUGGACCAAGGGCCUGAGCUGCGAGCUGAGCCGGUGGCUGAGCAGCUCUGCCAGCAGCUCUGGAGAAAAGUCUUUCCUGUACAAGGCUCUGGGGACAGUGCUGGGAGCUUGUAAGGAAGUCCUCCACAUCCAAGAGAAGCUUCUGCAACAC
ensembl:lncRNA